AACGAACGCUGGCGGCAUGCCUAACACAUGCAAGUCGAACGAGACCUUCGGGUCUAGUGGCGCACGGGUGCGUAACGCGUGGGAACCCGCCCUUAGGUUCGGAAUAACUCCCCGAAAGGGGUGCUAAUACCGGAUAAUGUCUUCGGACCAAAGAUUUAUCGCCUUUGGAUGGGCCCGCGUUGGAUUAGCUAGUUGGUAGGGUAAAAGCCUACCAAGGCGACGAUCCAUAGCUGGUCUGAGAGGAUGAUCAGCCACACUGGGACUGAGACACGGCCCAGACCCCUACGGGGGGACGGGGGGGUGAAGACGGGACACGGGGAGCAAGACAGAGCGAGCAAGGCCGCGAGAGUGUGAAAGGGCGGAGGUUUGAAAAGCGCUGUGACGCGGGAAGAAAAUGACCGUACUGGGAGAAGAAGCGCCGGAAAACUCCGUGCCAGCAGAGGAGAAAAUAAGCGGAAGAGCCCAACACUGAAC
rnacentral:rRNA from 1 species